UACGUAGGGUCCGAGCGUUGUCCGGAAUUAUUGGGCGUAAAGGGCUCGUAGGCGGUUUGUCGCGUCGGGUGUGAAAACCUUGGGCUUAACUCAGGGCUUGCUUUCGAUACGGGCAGACUAGAGGUAUGCAGGGGAGAACGGAAUUCCUGGUGUAGCGGUGAAAUGCGCAGAUAUCAGGAGGAACACCGGUGGCGAAGGCGGGUCUCUGGGCAGUAACUGACGCUGAGGAGCGAAAGCGUGGGGAGCGAACAGG
rnacentral:rRNA from 1 species